ACACAAGCACAGAGAGAAAAGAAAGGGCGUGUUUGUGGCUUUUUCAUUUUGAAAAACACCAAAUUUAAUUACCUCGGAAUACACAACACAACCCUGUUUCUCUUUUUCUCUCUCUCUCUCUCUCUCUCUCUCAGACAGAGACAAAGUGGCUAUGGCAGCACAUCAGCAGUAAUACAAUAAAGUCUCAUCUCAUCUCUCUCUCAGUAAAGUAAAUGCACAAUCUUCCCAUGGCAUUUUCCAUACCCACUUCUUCUCCAACUCAUCCUUUCUGCUGCAACUUCAAAGGUUUGGCAAAGCUAAUGGUGCCUGCUGCAAGGAUUCAAACUUCGUGCGUAACACAUGACAAGUUUAUUGUCAUUUGACAGUAAUGAAGUUGUGGAUUAAUACCUAAAGUUAGGUAUUGGGAAUGAAGCCAUCGGUCCAGAUAAUUUAACUAUUAUUAUGUAUUUAUAUUGAAUUUUUUGUACAUUAUCAUUUGAUGUAAUUCUGGAUCAAUGAUUUGUUGUACAUCAAUUUGCUAUAUAAAUAGUGAACUCUUUAACAUGUCUUGUUUA